CUUCGGGAAACCGGAGCUAAUACCGGAUAAUAUUUUGAACCGCAUGGUUCAAAAGUGAAAGACGGUCUUGCUGUCACUUAUAGAUGGAUCCGCGCUGCAUUAGCUAGUUGGUAAGGUAACGGCUUACCAAGGCAACGAUGCAUAGCCGACCUGAGAGGGUGAUGGCCACACUGGAACUGAGACACGGUCCAG
rnacentral:rRNA from 1 species